AGCUGGUUCCGAGCCGAUGACUUCCCCUCCGCUCCCACCUCGCUCCCACAGCCGGCGCCCGGCGGUUUUACGCUCGCCUUUCUUUCCACUCCCCUCCCCCACCUCCCAGCGGUUCCCAGCUCCCCGGGUGUCAUGCCGCUCCGAAGCUCCCCCACCGACACACGCAGCGCCAUUUGCUUUAUGAGGCCGGGAGCAGAAGGUCGAGUCGCCGCUCCCGUGUUCAGCGCCAGUGUCGCUGCAGGCUCUUCACCCGCCGGCGUCGCCCCAAGCUCUUCACCCGGCGCCGCACUAGAUUCUGGACCCGCCGGCACCGCCCCUUUCGGAGUUCUCCGUCGGCGUGCCUUAUCUCCCCUCCCGCACUCAGGUACGGAGGCGUGGGUGCGGCGUACGUAGGCGCUGCCGCUUCCUUCACCUGCACCAGCGGCGGAUCCGGCCUCGCCUGAGCCAGACGCCGCGCCGCCGAGGGCCGUCCCCACCACCGACGCUAGCGGCAUCCAUCCACUAGCGGUGUCUCGCAGGGUAGGAGGAGGCUCCCCAACCGGUGUCUCGCGGAGGCUCCUCCUUCCCCGACCGGCGGCGGCGCUAUCUCCUUCCCCGAGCAGCGGCAGCUCGUCUUCGGUUUGAUCCAACGGCAGCUCGUCUUCAGUUUACUGGAAGUGCUUCUAUGGAUUAUUAAAUCUGUAAUUGAAGAAACUGGGAGUGAUGUUAGAACAGAUCAACUCAGACUGUCUGGAAGACACUAAAGAGUGGAAAGGUCAAGAACCCCUGGCCGAAUGCUGAUGUUCACAGGACUUUUGCUGAACCACUUUGGACUAUUUGAAGCACGGUAUGUUUAUGUUUGUCAUUUAGAUACCAGUUUAGUCUCUCUUUUCGUUUACUCAGCAAACCUAGUUCUGAGUGAGCUCUCAUGUCUGGAACACUAUCUGUGCAUGUAUCACACUGUCUUGUUUGGUGUUUCGAGAAGCAUGGGCAUAGGAUUCUCAGCUCAUCUGGGACCCCGCCCUUGGCCUGCCACUUGAGAGGCCGAAGAGUGUUACCAUGGAGUGGCUGGAGAACUACUGCAAGAACAAGGCUACUUGAAGCUUGUCACAAAUGCUGGCUUUUCCCAACCUUAUGGUGUUAAUAAUUAAACAUGGGUUAUAGAAGUAGUCAUUUCCGGAUUUCCCCCUUGGCUGUUGAAUAACGCAAGAGCACGAUGCCCUCAGGCGGUAGAAUUUUCUAAUCUUCCUUCACUCGUGGACAUCGAGAUAUUUGAUUUGCGGCAACACUGGCAUAAGAGAUUAGGACAUGCUAAUUAAUCUUUACAUGUCAGCAUUGCAGAAGUGAUUGGGUUGACUAGCAUGAGGACGAGAGGUACGACUUGACAAAAUCUAUAUAAGGGAGGAGAUUUAUUUACAUAGCUAGCAAUACCACUACUGCCGUACACUGUACCCUCCAGAUGCACAGGAGCUUAAUUGCAUCUUUAGCAGAUCUGUAGGGAAAAUAUUUUCACAAUAAACUUUGUAAAGGAAGCGUAUCGAGAUUCAAGAGGAAUGAAUCAGAAGGUGUUUUCCUA